CUCGCUUUCUCUUACGCGGAGG
rnacentral:rRNA from 1 species